AAUCUUCCUUCGGGACUCGUGAACAGGUGCUGCAUGGCUGUCGUCAGCUCGUGCCGUGAGGUGUUGGGUUAAGUCCCGCAACGAGCGCAACCCUUAUCAUUAGUUGCCAACAUUUAAGGGGGGAACUCUAAUGAAACUGCCCGGGUUAACCAGGAGGAAGGGGAGGAUGACCUCAAGUCCCCAUGGCCCUUAUUUCUGGGGCUACCCCCCUGCUACAAUGGGCGGGACAAAAGGGAGCCAACCCCCGAGGGGGAACAAAUCCAAAAAGCCGGCCUCCCUUCAGAUUGUAAUCUGCCACUCCACUCCCUGAAAACGGAAUUGCUUUUAAUGGCAGGUCAACAACACUGCCCUGAAUAAAUUCCCGGGUCUUGGACACACCGA
rnacentral:rRNA from 1 species